ACACUUCCCUGGCAGAAGCGAUGCCAUGGUCACGAAAGUGGUUUUCCCAGGGCAGUGCUUGUCCAUGGCACUCUGGAUAUGUUGACGCCUGUGAUAUCCCCAAGUGUAGGGAAUGCAGUGUAUAAUAUAUAGGUUUGUGUUUGCCCUUUAAUAAA
rnacentral:snRNA from 11 species